CAGCGGCAGAGAAAACUAUAAGUGGAAAGAGGGUCGAUGGGUUAAGUAAGGAUGAGGUUCCCUUUGCUGGCACUCUUAAUAAUAGUGACUCCCGGCCAUCUGAAUGAUUUGUCAGGCUCAUAGGCUCCCCAGAGUAAAAAUUGGGAUCCUUUGGGCUAAAUUUAAUAGGACCAACUUCUCUGAAUACAUUUGACGGAGCUGCAGCAGCAAUUGUCACCCUUUCUCCCUCUCGUGCUGGGAGAUCUGCUG
rnacentral:misc_RNA from 1 species